rnacentral:rRNA from 1 species
UACGUAGGUGACAAGCGUUGUCCGGAUUUACUGGGGCGUAAAGAGCGCGCAGGCGGUCGAUCAAGUCGAGUGUGAAAGCCCCCGGCUCAACUGGGGAGGGUCAUUCGAUACUGAUCGACUCGAAGGCAGGAGAGGGUAGUGGAAUUCCCGGUGUAGUGGUGAAAUGCGUAGAUAUCUGGAGGAACACCGGUGGCGAAGGCGGCGAUCCUGGACCGGCAUUGACGCUGAGGCGCGAAAGCCAGGGGAGCAAACGGG